CAAAACUAUCAGCCAACGUUUUGGUGUAUUUCCUUCCAGGUUAUUUUCACACAUAGAUUUCGUGUGUGUUUUACAUCCUAGUAAUGUUACUCCACCGGUUCUUAAAUUUAAAUUGGCAGUGAAACAAGGAGGGAGAGGAGGAGGUAUGCUGGGAUCCUCAAGGCGCUGCUGGCUCCCCCAGCAACUCAGGCAGAUUCUGUCUGCUCUCUGUUCUCUUCUUAUAUUAUUUUUGCUGAGUAUGGGGGAUGCUGAGCCCCAGGUGCUGCUCACUCUCAGAGGCCUGUGGGAGAAUCUUCCUCUUGCAUGAAAUAUGCAGACUGAAGCUGAAAGGACCUUGAAGGUCAACAUGCCACUUUAUUUUCCAUCGCCACAAUGGGAAGAAGGAGAGUUGAAAAGAGGAAUCCAAGCAGGAACACUGAGUCAAUGAAACAAUAUCAUCAACUGACCAGAGUCUUAAUUUUAGGGAAGGUAGAAAGGCAAUCGACACCAGCGAGCAGGCCGGAGGAAGUGAAUAGUCCCAGCGAUGAGAGAAGGAAUGGUGGGCAGUGAACUCUUUUCAUAGUUUUUUUCUUUUUAAUUUAUAUAUAUUUUUUUGCUGAGGAAGUUGCACCCUGAGCUAUCAUCUGUUGCCAAUCUACCUCUUUUUGCUUGAGGAAGAUUCACCCUGAGUUAAUAUCUGUGCCAGUCUUCCUCUAUUUUGUAUGUGGGUUGCUGCCACAGUACGGCCGCCAAGGAGUGGUAUAGGUCCACACCAGGGAACUGAACCUGGGCCGCCAAAGCAGAGCAUGCCAAACUUAACCACUAGGCCACGGUGCUGGCUCUCGUAGUUGGAUUUCUUUUGAUGACAGCAUCCGUUGAAGGUUUGCAGAGCUUUGAAAAAUCGCUACAUGAAGGUUAGGCCAGUGGGGAGUGGCCAACCCCUAACAAAGCUGACUUUCAACCCAUCUAACUGAAAUUUGAUCCCAGCAAUCAAAUUAUCACAGCAAUUAAAGGCACAUGCCUUAGCCCUUUCUCCUUAUGACUCCAAAUAAGAUUCCAGGUCUGAAAGCCUCUUAUAAGACAAAUAAUUUAGGAAACAGCAAACGGGCAUGAGGGACGUCAUGGAGAAGGUCUGGCCUCUAAGAAACCUUUUACACUUCUUUGAAGGAACAAUCUGUCUACUAAAUGAAUAUCACCAGGAGCAGCAAAUCCCACCAGUCAUCCACCAGCAGGAAUUGUCCCCCAGGAGAACUGAUUUAUACAGCAGGACAUCAAGUGCAUGAUAAAGACACAUAAUAUAGGUGGGCCUUUGAAGGCAAUUACGUUUAGAUGCCAUCCCUAUGCUGGAAUUAGCACCCUUAUGGGAAGAGACACCAGGGAGCUUGUUUCUUCUCUCUCUCCCCACCAUGUGAGGACACAGGCGAAGGCGGCCAUCUGCAAGCCAGGAAGAGAGCCCUCACCACAACCUGACCAUGCUGGCAACUUGAUCUUGGGCUUGCCAGCCUCCAGAACCGUGAGAGAAUAAAUUUCUGUUGCUUAAACCACCCAGUCUAUUUUAUUUUGUUAUGGCAGCCUGAGCAGACUAUGACACUGAACAAAAUUAAAAACCAGAUCCUCCAAGAAGGGAAACAAGAGGCCAACAUUCCAUACAGUUUAGGCAGCUGGGCUUCUCACCUUUCUCUAGAAUUACUCCCUGCAGUUACUGUUCUUAUCUCCACGCUGGCCCCCAGGGGCUCUA
ensembl:lncRNA